rnacentral:rRNA from 1 species
UAACACGUGGGUAACCUGCCUGUAAGACUGGGAUAACUCCGGGAAACCGGAGCUAAUACCGGAUAGUUCCUUGAACCGCAUGGUUCAAGGAUGAAAGACGGUUUCGGCUGUCACUUACAGAUGGACCCGCGGCGCAUAGCUAGUUGGUGAGGUAACGGCUCACCAAGGCGACGAUGCGUAGCCGACUGAGAGGGUGAUCGGCCACACUGGGACUGAGACACGGCCCAGACUCCUACGGGAGGCAGCAGUAGGGAAUCUUCCGCAAUGGACGAAAGUCUGACGGAGCAACGCCGCGUGAGUGAUGAAGGUUUUCGGAUCGUAAAGCUCUGUUGUUAGGGAAGAACAAGUGCAAGAGUAACUGCUUGCACCUUGACGGUACCUAACCAGAAAGCCACGGCUAACUACGUGCCAGCAGCCGCGGUAAUACGUAGGUGGCAGCGUUGUCCGGAAUUAUUGGGCGUAAAGGGCUCGCAGGCGGUUUCUUAAGUCUGAUGUGAAAGCCCCCGGCUCAACCGGGGAGGGUCAUUGGAAACUGGGAAACUUGAGUGCAGAAGAGGAGAGUGGAAUUCCACGUGUAGCGGUGAAAUGCGUAGAGAUGUGGAGGAACACCAGUGGCGAAGGCGACUCUCUGGUCUGUAACUGACGCUGAGGAGCGAAAGCGUGGGGAGCGAACAGGAUUAGAUACCCUGGUAGUCCACGCCGUAAACGAUGAGUGCUAAGUGUUAGGGGGUUUCCGCCCCUUAGUGCUGCAGCUAACGCAUUAAGCACUCCGCCUGGGGAGUACGGUCGCAAGACUGAAACUCAAAGGAAUUGACGGGGGCCCGCACAAGCGGUGGAGCAUGUGGUUUAAUUCGAAGCAACGCGAAGAACCUUACCAGGUCUUGACAUCCUCUGACAACCCUAGAGAUAGGGCUUUCCCUUCGGGGACAGAGUGACAGGUG